rnacentral:rRNA from 1 species
AAUGAACGCUGGCGGUAGGCCUAACACCUGCAAGUCGAACGGCAGCACCGUAAGAGCUUGCUCUUACGGGUGACUAUUGGCGUACGGGUUAGGAAUACAUCGGAGUCUACUUUUUCGUGGGGUAUAACGUAGGGAAACUUACGCUAAUACCGCAUACGCCCUCCUGCUGAACUCAUUGUCUCUUCGGACCUUGCGCGAUUGAAUGAGCCGAUGUCGGAUUAGCUAUUUGGCGGGGUACAGGCCCACCAAGGCGACGAUCCGUAGCUGGUCUGAGAGGAUGUAGAGUCACACUGGAACUGAGACAAGGUCCAGACGCGCACGGGAGGCCGAAGUGUGGAAUAUUGGAAAAUGCGCGCAAGCCUGACCCAGGGAUACCGCGUCAGUGAAGAAGGCCCACGGGUUGUAGAGCCCUUUUGUGGGGAAAGAAAAGCAGCAGCUUAAUACCCCGCUGUUCUGACGGUACCCAAAGAAGAAGCACCGGCUAAAUUCGUG